GACAGGACCCUGGGAUAGAAAGUGCUUUGGAAUGACACGAUCACUCCCGUUGAGCGGACAGCCAAGAAGCCAUCGGGAAUAUCGUGUCCGUCCAAUGCUCUUUCAGCGCCUCCCACAGAGAUU
rnacentral:pre_miRNA from 15 species